GACGAACGCUGGCGGCGUGCUUAACACAUGCAAGUCGAGCGGAAAGGCCCUUCGGGGUACUCGAGCGGCGAACGGGUGAGUAACACGUGAGCAACCUGCCCCUGACUCUGGGAUAAGCCUGGGAAACCGGGUCUAAUACCGGAUAUGACCGCCUCCGGCAUCGGAUGGUGGUGGAAAGAAUUUUGGUCGGGGAUGGGCUCGCGGCCUAUCAGCUUGUUGGUGGGGUAGUGGCCUACCAAGGCGACGACGGGUAGCCGGCCUGAGAGGGCGACCGGCCACACUGGGACUGAGACACGGCCCAGACUCCUACGGGAGGCAGCAGUGGGGAAUAUUGCGCAAUGGGCGGAAGCCUGACGCAGCGACGCCGCGUGGGGGAUGACGGCCUUCGGGUUGUAAACCUCUUUCAGCAGGGACGAAGUUGACGUGUACCUGCAGAAGAAGCGCCGACUAACUACGUGCCAGCCGCCGCCGUAACAC
rnacentral:rRNA from 1 species